rnacentral:snRNA from 1 species
GUGCUCACUUUAGCAGCACAUAUACUAAAAUUGGAAUGAUACAAAGAUUAGCAUGGCCCCUGCACAAGGAUGACACGCAAAUUCAUGAAGUGUUCCAUAUUUUU